ensembl:lncRNA
UUAUUGAGAAUGAGAGGGACAGACAGACAGAAUGAUUGAGACAAAAGUAGAGAGAGGGAAAGAGACACAACAGGUAAUAACAGGCCCAUGAUGAUUCAGCAUAUAUGUGGGUAGACAUUAUAACCACAUCCCAUGUGCAUCAUGAAUAGAUACAGUUCCAACUGAUUUAAUACUUCUAAGAAUAGAGCACUGGACUUGAUUCAGCCUAAUGAGUAGUACAUGUGAUGUCAUCAUGAUGUGGUCUCCCCCCACAGGAGUAUUGACGUCUGCAUCUAAAUAGUCUAUUUGUCUUCCUCCACCUCUUCCUGCUCUCCUAGUUUUCUAGCUAUGGCAUGCCAUGAUAUGGAUUAAAAGGGACCAGUGAAUGUACAUAAAUACUUGGUAGGCAUCCAGGAUAAUGCUUUCAUCUUUCCUUUCAUAUCAAUGUUAAUUAAGGAGACCAAUUCAGAGUAUUACAAUGCAGCCAUGGGUUCUGUAAUCAAAGGUUACAUACUUAAAAAGACCAAUUUACAGCAACAACAUAGGAAGUAUGUCAGGACACCAGGUUUAACCACAGAGAGUUGGUCCGAAAAACAUGUUUAACCACAGAGAGUUGGUCCGAAAAACAUGUUUAACCACAGAGAGUCAGUCAGGAAAACAUGUUUAACCACGGAGUCAGUCAGGAAAACAGGUUUAACCACAGAGGGUCUGUCAGGAAAACAGGUUUAACUACAGAGAGUCAAUCAGGAAAACAGGUUUAACCACAGAGUCAGUCAGGAAAACAUGUUUAACCACAGAGAGUCAGUCAGGAAAACAGGUUUAACCACAGAGAGUCAGUCAGGAAAACAGGUUUAACCACAGAGGGUCUGUCAGGAAAACAGGUUUAACCACAGAGAGUCAGUCAGGAAAACAUGUUUAACCACAGAGAGUCAGUCAGGAAAACAUGUUUAACCACAGAGAGUCAGUCAGGAAAACAGGUUUAACCACAGAGAGUCAGUCAGGAAAACAGUUCGUCCAUUUACUAUAACUUUGACCCAACAACUGUCUGGGUGUCUGGGACAUUUAGCAAAAGAAAUUCAAAAAACAGAAUACCCCUUCAAAACAUAUGUAUCUCACCACUGUGCUCUUAACAAUUAGCUAUGUUGCAGCAUUUAUCCUGCACCCUCCCCCCAUCUCACUGCAAUUGUCAGGAACCCCCGACCACUCCCAUGGGACGGCCAUGUCAUGCAUUCUAACCCCUCCCCUCUCAUCUCAUAUUCCAUCACCACAGCAACCUAAUCCAUUUACUUCCUGGAACACACAGCCAGGGCGUGUCAUCAAGCUGCUUUACAUCUGCAAGGACAUCAGCUCCUCCUAGACAAUGAUUCAAUCUUCCCUCUUCCCUCUGUUACACCCAUUUCAUACAACUAAUGCAGCCACAACCAGCUGACAGAUCUUCACAGUAAUAUAUUAAAUAAUACAGUAAUACAAUAUAUUACAAAUCAGCAGAACAGAUUUCAUGAAAACAUAAACCCAUUAUAUCCCAUAAAGAUCAACGAAUCAAAGUCUAUAGAAACAUACCUUUUCAUUUGUCUAUGGGAAGACAUAUUGUUCCCCUUGUCAAGUGAACAGAAAGACUGAUAAGACAGUCCUGAAUUGGCUGUACCAAUCAAAAUUUACCACAUUCUAUUAGAAGUGGUAGUUCCUGGCUAUCUUAAGGUAAAUAAACGAACAGUUAUCCCCUUUAGAUAUGAGAGUCUGCUAAAUUGAAAACAUACAUUUAAAUGUCAGCGUAGGUUGUUGAAGCUCAACAUUAGUAAGACGAUAACAGAACUACAGGUUGUACCUUCCUCCUUCAUGCUGCAAUAACAAACUCACAGAGUAACAACGAUCUGCACAUCAACAGACCCACAACACAGCCAUAUUGCAGUGUUAUAUAAGGACACUUCCAAGACUGACAGAGAAACAGAAAGAGAGAGACAGAAGGAGAGACAUAGAGAGACCUACCAAGCUUAUUUUGACUCAGCAUAAUCGUAGACAGCAAAACGGGCACAGCUAGCAAACUCUGACACUGAGCAGCAGGAUAGAGGACACACACUCUGUCUUCUCCCUCUCUGUCUUUCUCUAAUUCUAAACUGUUAAACACACCCAAAAGGACUGAUGCAUCUUCCUAUCUCUCUGCGUAUGGAAGCUGCUGGAAGCUGCUGCGCUUGUUUACCGUGCAGUCCAACCGCUGAGCCUGGAGGUAGAAGCUAGAGCAGCAGUGGCCCAUAGCAGGCUGCAGGGCAGACCAAUGAUUCAUUCCACACUGAUGCUGCUACACACCCAAAGAUAUGGACAGGGAGACAGAGAGAGCUGGGGAGGAAGGAGAGGCUGGAGAGAGGGGAGUAGAGGGAGGAGGUGUGGGGGAAGGGAAAAUAAGGGAAGGGACAAAAAAGAUGAAAUCAGGGGAGACAAAAAUAGAAAGAAUAAACAGAGAAAUAAAGAGAGAAAGAAAGGGAAGCGAGAAGAUGUAGCACUAGAAAGGAUGGAAAGAGAGGAGAUGUAGAACUACAAAGGAUGGAAAGAGGGGAGAUGUAGAACUACAAAGGAUGGAAAGAGGGGAGAUGUAGAACUACAAAGUGAUGUCAGCAUUACAAAGAAAGAAGAGGGAAGUGAGAAGGACUGGAUUGAGACAAAGGGAAGAUGAGAUUACUAAAGAGCCAGCAUGCCAGCCACACCUCUCAGCCAGCCUCACCUCUCAGCCAGCCACACCUCUCUGCCAGCCUCACCUCUCUGCCAGCCACACCUCUCAGCCAGCCUCACCUCUCAGCCAGCCUCACCUCUCAGCCAGC